AUGCGGGGAGAUGUGAACGGAGGGACGGCGAACAUGGCGGAGAAGCAGUACGUGACGGCGAAGACGUCGGUGUGGUGGGACAUAGAGAAUUGCCAGGUGCCCAAGGUCUGCGACGUCCACGCCAUCGCUCAGAAUAUAAGCUCGGCGCUGGUGGAGAUGAACUACUGCGGCCCCGUCUCCAUCUCCGCCUACGGCGACACCAAUCGCAUCCCCGCGUCUGUCCAGCACGCGCUCUCCAGCACCGGCAUCGCCCUCAAUCACGUCCCCGCCGGUGUGAAAGAUGCAAGUGACAAGAAGAUUCUUGUUGAUAUGCUAUUCUGGGCAGUAGACAACCCUGCCCCGGCCAAUUAUCUGCUUAUCUCCGGCGACAGGGACUUCUCUAAUGCUCUGCAUCAGCUACGAAUGAGAAGAUAUAAUAUUCUUCUCGCGCAGCCACAUAAAGCAUCUGCACCACUCAUUGCCGCGGCAAAGAGUGUGUGGCUUUGGACUAGCCUCUCAGCCGGAGGCCCCCCACUUACGACUGGUGAAUCGUCUCAGCUUGCUAAUGGUAGCACCAGUUCUUUUAACCCAGAACUGCCGCCGCAGCACUCGAUGCCUGAAGAUCAUCAGAUAAACAACCAACCGACACUUAACUUUGACAAUCAAGCUCCGGGAAAUCAGAAGCCUUCUAAUGGUGGAAGGGGUGGUGGUGAUCCUAGAUUUAAAGGGAAGCAUAACAGGAAAAACCCAAAUAAACCCAACAUAUCAAGAGCCUCAAGUGUGCCAGUUGGGGUCCAAAAUGACAAGAGUAGUGAUUAUCCUUACCAAACAGAUCAGACACAGGCAAAGCAGUUUAAGAAAGCUCCACAUGAAUUCUUUGGUGCUAGUGAGAAUUUUGUCUCCACUAGCAGGUCUACGCCCAAUUUCUUCCCUGGAAAUUCUGUCCCUUCCGGAAGUAAUGGAAGUAGUUUUCUAGGUCAGCAAAACCAAUAUCCUCCUCAAAUGAGGCCGAACAACUUCCAUAUGCAACCUAAUUUUGGUCCGGAUAAUAUGCUCCCUCCGAUUUCUCAUGCUCAGGGUUUUCGACCUAUUCCUCCCGGACCUGAUGACCCUCGAUUUUCUUUUGCUCCAAUUUCUUCAGCUCCACCUACAAAUGUUCCACCUUCAAAUGUGCCUGACAUGGGAAAGCUAAAUAUCUCUGAUUACCCCAACUAUGCACAAAAUCCACCCAGGUUUCCACAUCGAACCGGAGAAGAGUAUAAUAGACCUAGGUCUAGUGAGUCACAGAAUCCUGGCGGCUUUAAUGGACCUCAUAGAGGCCAUAAUAUGCAGGGUGGCCAGCCAUUUCAUCAUGAUUCUGUGAACAACAGGUAUGUACCUCCUUCAUCCACCCCUGUUACAGCAAACAACAUUCCCACUACCAGUAAUGGUAGCUGGGGAAGUCAAGGUUGUGCUCCACCUUCUGAAUAUGUUCAAGGGCUUAUUGGCGUUAUUCUCCUAGCCUUGAACACCCUGAAAGUAGAGAAAAUUAUGCCUACUGAAGCAAACAUUACGGAUUGCAUCCGUUUUGGUGAUCCAAAACACCGAAAUACCGAUGUAAGGAAGGCUUUGGAUUAUGCAAUAGAGCAACAUAUGGUAGUGAAGCAGAACCUGGGUAACAUUCCAUUGUAUAUUGGAAAAAUAAAAAAGUAUGGAAGUGUGUGAAUCUUAGUGGUGGUAAUAUUAAUCAGCACACUAAAGCUACAUGGGAUUCUAUACAGAAAUAUCUGAGUUCAUCAGAUGGACGAUCAGCACUGAUGGCUUCUCAAUGCAGAUAUGAAGCAGCUACAAUUAUGAAAAAAGCAUGCUUGCAAGAGCUUGCUUUGGGUGAAGUACUCAAGAUCUUGAAUAUGACAAUUAUUACGAAGAAAUGGAUCAUUACUCAUCAGUCAGGAUGGCAACCAAUUUCUAUUACUCUUCCAGAGGCUAAACCUGAUGUGGCUUCCGAACCUGGUACUUGAUUUAAUCAACUACUCUUUAUGUGCAGCAAGUGGCUCUAAGUGGCUCUAAGAUGGUCACAGCUGCAAGAGUAUUAUCAGUUUAUUGGACCUUUGACCAAAUGGGUUUACUUCUGAAAAAAAUCCACAUUAGAGUAUCUAAAGAUCUAAUGGGAUGUAAACCUUUACCAUGUGAACCAAGUAAGUAGAACUAGGUUUCUUUGCCUUUUCUUCCUUUAUCUUUUGUCCUACCUCCAGUUUUCCUUUUCAUCCUUGCUCCCUUUUGGGGUACUUGACGAGCUUCUAAAGAGUAAUGCUGAUAACCGAAGCCGAUUACACUAUCAAAGUUCUUACAAGCUGCCUAUGUUACAAAUUUUUUUGUCCAUUACAAAUCAUGGAAGGCAGUAUGUCAGGAGGAAGUGUUUUGUUUCAGCAUGUGAAGGUGUAGGCCAGAUUACGAAGCUGUGGACAAGUUAAGCAUGUUCUUUCUCGAUAGGCAAGAAUAUGAAGCUGUGGAAAAGUUUAAGCUUGUUCUUUCUGGAUCAGAUGACUAUAUUAUGCAGACAUUAGGAUUCGACUGCCCAUGUAAAUGAACUAUAUUGAAGACACUCGAGAUCGGGUAUAUGCAACCUAUGGAUUUGAUUGCCCGUGUUCAUUUCUUUAGCAUGGGGCUUGGUAUUUUACUUCCAAGAGAAAAAAGUUUGCAGAGGAAAUUCAUAGACGCUGACACAGCAUUUUGAAGUAUGUUCCUUUAAGAAAGUAAAGGUAAGCUAUCCUACCAAACACAUGCCUGUAGGUAUGUGAUUUCUGGAAUCUGGUGUGGCUAGUAGCUAUAGUAGUAUGCAUGUGCAUGGAUGUUGCAAAUUAAUUUUGGACCAAGUUUCUUGUAUCCUAUCUGCAUUUGAUAUUUUAUAGUAGAAAUCCUUUGUAUAUUUUGUUUUCCUGAUUCGUCCUUCUUGUUAGUUUGCAAGUAAUUUGGCAACCUUGUUUUCUUCAAUAAUCUUGCGUGUAUUAAAAAUUUGGAACUGAAAGUUGAAAUGUAUUUCUCAUAGCUCGCAGUGAAAAUAUACUAGUAGUACCUCCAUUUUUCU